GGAUCAGUAAGUUGGUCGUGCCACGGGUAUGUACUGGUCUUACUGAUUCCUCCUUCCUGAUGAAUCAUAAUGCCAUUAAUUUGGUGUUGUGGGGAAACUGGACUGUUACUUUGAAAAAAUUAGAGUGUUUAAAGCAGGCUAACGCUUGAAUACAUUAGCAUGGAAUAAUGAAAUAGGACGUUCGAUCCUAUUUUGUUGGUUUCUAGGAUUGACGUA
rnacentral:rRNA from 1 species